GACGAACGCUGGCGGCGUGCUUAACACAUGCAAGUCGAACGGAAAGGCCCUGCUUUUGUGGGGUGCUCGAGUGGCGAACGGGUGAGUAACACGUGAGUAACCUGCCCUUGACUUUGGGAUAACUUCAGGAAACUGGGGCUAAUACCGGAUAGGAGCUCCUGCUGCAUGGUGGGGGUUGGAAAGUUUCGGCGGUUGGGGAUGGACUCGCGGCUUAUCAGCUUGUUGGUGGGGUAGUGGCUUACCAAGGCUUUGACGGGUAGCCGGCCUGAGAGGGUGACCGGCCACAUUGGGACUGAGAUACGGCCCAGACUCCUACGGGAGGCAGCAGUGGGGAAUAUUGCACAAUGGGCGGAAGCCUGAUGCAGCAACGCCGCGUGCGGGAUGACGGCCCUCGGGUUGUAAACCGCUUUCGCCUGUGACGAAGCGUGAGUGACGGUAAUGGGUAAAGAAGCACCGGCUAACUACGUGCCAGCAGCCGCGGUGAUACGUAGGGUGCGAGCGUUGUCCGGAUUUAUUGGGCGUAAAGGGCUCGUAGGUGGUUGAUCGCGUCGGAAGUGUAAUCUUGGGGCUUAACCCUGAGCGUGCUUUCGAUACGGGUUGACUUGAGGAAGGUAGGGGAGAAUGGAAUUCCUGGUAGAGCGGUGGAAUGCGCAGAUAUCAGGAGGAACACCAGUGGCGAAGGCGGUUCUCUGGGCCUUUCCUGACGCUGAGGAGCGAAAGCGUGGGGAGCGAACAGGCUUAGAUACCCUGGUAGUCCACGCUGUAAACGGUGGGUACUAGGUGUGGGGUCCAUUCCACGGGUUCCGUGCCGUAGCUAACGCUUUAAGUACCCCGCCUGGGGAGUACGGCCGCAAGGCUAAAACUCAAAGGAAUUGACGGGGCCCCGCACAAGCGGCGGAGCAUGCGGAUUAAUUCGAUGCAACGCGUAGAACCUUACCUGGGUUUGACAUGGAUCGGGAGUGCUCAGAGAUGGGUGUGCCUCUUUUGGGGUCGGUUCACAGGUGGUGCAUGGCUGUCGUCAGCUCGUGUCGUGAGAUGUUGGGUUAAGUCCCGCAACGAGCGCAACCCUUGUUCACUGUUGCCAGCACGUUAUGGUGGGGACUCAGUGGAGACCGCCGGGGUCAACUCGGAGGAAGGUGGGGAUGACGUCAAGUCAUCAUGCCCCUUAUGUCCAGGGCUUCACGCAUGCUACAAUGGCUGGUACAGAGAGUGGCGAGCCUGUGAGGGUGAGCGAAUCUCGGAAAGCCGGUCUCAGUUCGGAUUGGGGUCUGCAACUCGACCUCAUGAAGUCGGAGUCGCUAGUAAUCGCAGAUCAGCAACGCUGCGGUGAAUACGUUCCCGGGGCU
rnacentral:rRNA from 1 species